UUUACUUUGGCAGAUUUGAAGUGUUUUAAAUUUAGAAUUUAAAUAUAUAUAUUUAUAAUAAGAAUAUAUAAGUAAUA
rnacentral:tRNA from 1 species